GAGAAAGUACCAGAUUGACAAUUACCUUGAUCAUUUUCUUAUCUCAUCAAGGCAAGCAUGAGCAGAUCAAGGGCAUCAAUCCAAUUAGGAGCCCUCCUAUGAUGAUCCAACCCUCCCAUGUUCAGAAUUAUCUGACAUAUGGGCUUUCGACAUGUUAACUAUACAUGAACCCAAACUUUGCAAAUAUAAGAAUAAGGCACAAUUGAUUGCAAUUUAGGGCUGCAAUAAAAGGGCAUAAACAUUUACAAGCAAAAAACAUAACUUAUAAGUAUAAAAGGGC
rnacentral:lncRNA from 1 species